UGAGGGCACGACGAUAGUUUCUGCCUUCAUGUAGGCUGCAGUCUAGGAGAGAGAAAGAAUUCUAGUAAAAAACAACAAUAAUAGACACCUGUACAUUGUGUUAGUGUUAGAAGGGAAGUCAGUAAAGUGCAAUAAUGGAGAACAGUGUUGAUGUAGAACCUACUUAGACUGCAGUUCACGUGCAGUCUGCUUCCCAGAUCCUGGCACACAGUAGGGCUUAAUAGAUAGUGAGCAACCAGCAGUAGGGGACGAGGCAGUGUGCCUUCCCUGUAGGAGGUUAUCUAGUCCCCUGGAGACUCAGCCUGGCCAUGGACACUGGGUGCCAUCAUAGCGCUUACCUGUCUUCUGAGCUUCUCUUUGAUUGGGAUCAGGGGAAUACCAGGUUGUUUAGGAUGAUGGCUCUACAGCUCAGAAUCUUCAUAGGAAAGGAGUGUAAUUUUCAAUGUAUGGAGGCUGACAGAGUGAGGCGGUCUGCAUUGCGAAGGUUUUCAGACAGAUUUAAUCACAGGAACUUCCUUCUUGGGUCCUUAAUGAGCCUCCGUUAUCUUCGGCAGCCUCCGAGGAUCCCGGCUGGUCUGUGGGAUGUGAGGUAGCAUCUGGGCUUCCUGGCUAAAGUGAGAACAUGCAAAGAGGAGCCCGACAACCAGGAGAUGACGUUCCUCACGGCAGGCAGAACGGGGAGAUAAAGGAGGAAUCUGUAGCUUUUUGAAAACUGUUUCCUCAGAAAUUGACUAUUUGUGCUGGUUUGAUGCCUCAUCUGGGUGUGAGAGAGAAAAACCAAAAAACGUCGUUCAUCAAUAACCAUCGUUCGUUUCCCUUUCCCGGCCUUUUAGGGCCUGGAGAGAGAAUUUUGGAUUUAUUUUUGUUUCCCUUGGGCUGACAUCAUCAAGCAUGCAUCAUGGUGCUCUGUUUUGGGUUUGGAAAAAGCUCUGAGAAGCUAUAAAUCUUGAGGCAUUUUACUAUUUUUUCUCUUCCCUUUCCUACAAGCACAACUUUUCUGGUUUCUUAAAAAAAAAAAAAGAAAACUACAAAAGUGUGUAUUGAUCCCUUUCCCUCAGAUCUUAGCUGGCCAGGCUGUAAUACCUUGCUUACAUCUGCCAGGUUUUGUGCAGUUUUGCAACAUCGCCUUAAUCCAGUGAGCAUAAAUAGAACAUUUCAAUCAUAUUUGGCUACCAGGAACUUCGCAGAUAAGCACGCUAAAACCUUGUUGAAAGAGACUGUAUGAGACUGUGUGCGAUAAGAUCAUCCUAAAGCCCGGCGCACAAAUGAAAAACUUUUGUUCUUGCUGAAAUUUGUUGAUAGAGAUAUUUCAAAUAAAUGACUUAGAAGAACUCGGCGUUUUAAAACAAAGGCCCAGUUACGUCACCGCCAGAAGCCCAGGCCUCCCGGUGCUCAGCAGCCAUGAAGAUCCUUCUUUGAGCAGUUGCUGCGGGGAGAUUAGCCGGCCUUUGUCACGUCUGCCAUCUUAUUUGAACACUCAGGCAGCCUUAUCUGAAAGCACUGUACUUGGUGCGGCCAUGGCCGCGGGGAAUGCCAUUGUCCUUCCUCCUAUUUUCACAGCUGGGGACAGCUCCUUCCCCUCUUCGGGCAGCUCAGGUUGGCCUGGAUCCCAGGCCAAGGCAGGUCGCACGGCUUUCGGUCUAAGAACCCGUGCAGGCCUUUGCUUUGGGGCAGUGGGGACCGCUGUUCAUGGACUGGGAUGGGUUUGUGUGUUGGUGUGUGUAGAGGGGGUGGAAGUUUUCACCUCUGCAUUUUCCCCUUCGAAUUCCCAUUCAUGUUUGCUCGUUCACUCAACAACAAUGCACCGAGUCCCACCCUGUUCUGGGCUCAGAGCCAGAGGUUGAGGGGAUGGUUCUGGUUGGCUCCUUCGGAGGAAGUUAUGGUCUGGCUCACACAGGCCCGUGUCCACCCCACAGCCUCUCUGUGUCAUAACCCGAUUGGAAGGGACUCAACCCUUGCAGUGUCACAAAGGUGUGAAGUGAGAGCGUGAGAGGGUGAGUGGUCACACCAAGGUCACUGGCUGGUCAUGGCCGAGCUGGGUGAGCACCGAGUCUCCUGCUCUCCGCCCAGUAUUUCAGUUAGUGUCACACCUUUGCUCUAGGUGACCCUUGAGAAAGUGCCUUCUUUGCUAUCCUCUCCCCGUCCUUUAACAGUCUCCAAAGCAACCACAUAGCCAUGUCUUCCAUGGCUGCACUGGCCCGGAUGCCAGCAGGGGGCGCUUGCCUGUAUUCCCCUAACGCGCCCCCAGUCCUGCAGCACGUAAAGUGUUAACCGCCACUGUCAGUUCCUGGUUGCUUUUUAAAAUCCGUUGCUUGAAAUCCUUGCCUUUUAUUGGUAAAUUUACUUUAUGGCAUACAUAAAGAGCUGUAUUAAAAAAUAAAUUGUGUUGUAAAAGCA